AUUGAACGCUGGCGGCAUGCCUUACACAUGCAAGUCGAACGGCAGCACGGGUGCUUGCACCUGGUGGCGAGUGGCGAACGGGUGAGUAAUACAUCGGAACGUACCUUAUCGUGGGGGAUAACGCAGCGAAAGCUGUGCUAAUACCGCAUACGCCCUGAGGGGGAAAGCGGGGGAUCGCAAGACCUCGCGCGAUUAGAGCGGCCGAUGCCUGAUUAGCUUGUUGGUGGGGUAAAAGCACCAAGGCGACGAUCAGUAGCUGGUCUGAGAGGACGAUCAGCCACACUGGGACUGAGACACGGCCCAGACUCCUACGGGAGGCAGCAGUGGGGAAUUUUGGACAAUGGGGGCAACCCUGAUCCAGCAAUGCCGAGUGAGUGAAGAAGGCCUUCGGGUUGUAAAGCUCUUUUGUCAGGGAAGAAACACCGGCUCUAACACAGUCCGGGAAUGACGGUACCUGAAGAAUAAGCACCGGCUAACUACGUGCCAGCCGCCGCCGUAA
rnacentral:rRNA from 1 species